AAUCAACGCUGGCGGCGUGCCUAACACAUGCAAGUCGAACGGGAAAGUGGAGCAAUCCAUGAGUAUAGUGGCGACCGGGUGAGUAACACGUGACUAACCUACCUUCAAGUGGGGGAGUAACCUCGGGAACCGGGGCGUAAUACCGCAUAAUAUCCUUGUUAUGAGAAAGACAGGGAUCAAAGGAGCAAUUCGCUGGAAGAGGGGGUCGGCGGCUGAUUAGCUAGUUGGUGGGGUAAUGGCCCACCAAGGCUUUGAUCGGUAGCCGGCCUGAGAGGGCGCACGGCCACACUGGAACUGAAACACGGUCCAGACUCCUACGGGAGGCAGCAGUGGGGAA
rnacentral:rRNA from 1 species